rnacentral:rRNA from 1 species
UAGGGAAUCUUCCACAAUGGACGCAAGUCUGAUGGGCAACGCCGCGUGAGUGAAGAAGGUUUUCGGACCGUAAAGCUCUGUUGUUAGUGAAGAAGGAUAGAGGUAGUAACUGGCCUUUAUUUGACGGUAAUCAACCAGAAAGUCACGGCUAACUACGUGCCAGCAGCCGCGGUAAUACGUAGGUGGCAAGCGUUGUCCGGAUUUAUUGGGCGUAAAGCGAGCGCAGGCGGAAGAAUAAGUCUGAUGUGAAAGCCCUCGGCUUAACCGAGGAAUUGCAUCGGAAACUGUUUUCUUGAGUGCAGAAAGAGGAGAGUAGAACUCCAUGUGUAGCGGUGGAAUGCGUAGAUAUAUGGAAGAAUAACCAGUGGCGAAAGGCGGCUCUCUGGUCUGCAACUGACGCUGAGGCUCGAAAAGCAUGGGUAGCGAACAGGAUUAGAUACCCUGGUAGUCCAUGCCGUAAAACGAUGAGUGCUAAGUGUUGGGAGGCUUCCGCCUCUCAGUGCUGCAGCUAACGCAUUAAGCACUCCGCCUGGGGGAGUACGACCGCAAGGUUGAAAC